rnacentral:rRNA from 1 species
UACGUAGGCAGCAAGCGUUGUUCGGAAUUACUGGGCGUAAAGAGUGUGUAGGGGGUGCUCUAAGUCUGUUGUGAAAUCUCCCGGCUUAACCGGGGGGGUGCGGCGGAAACUGGAGUGCUUGAGGGUGGGAGAGGUAAGCGGAAUUCCUGGUGUAGCGGUGAAAUGCGUAGAUAUCAGGAGGAACACCUGUGGU